CCUACGGGUGGCAGCAGUAGGGAAUCUUUCACAAUGGGCGAAAGCCUGAUGGAGCAACGCCGCGUGCAGGAUGAAGGCCUUCGGGUUGUAAACUGCUUUUAUAAGCGAGGAAUAUGAUGGUAACUUAUGAAUAAGGAUCGGCUAACUACGUGCCAGCAGCCGCGGUCAUACGUAGGAUCCGAGCAUUAUCCGGAGUGACUGGGUGUAAAGAGUUGCGUGGGUGGCAUAAUAAGUAGCUAGUGAAAUCUGGUGGCUCAACCAUUCAGACUAUUAGCUAAACUGUUAAGCUCGAGACCGUUAGGGGUAACUGGAAUUUCGAGUGUAGGAGUGAAAUCCGUAGAUAUUAGAAGGAACACCAAUAGCGUAGGCAGGUUGCUGGGACGGUUCUGACACUAAGGCACGAAAGCGUAGGGAGCACGGGAUUAGAUACCCGGGUAGUC
rnacentral:rRNA from 1 species